AAGUCGUAACAAGGUCUCCGUAGGUGAACCUGCGGAGGGAUCAUUACUGAGUUACACUCAAACCCUGUUUAAGAAUCUGUUGCUUCGGAGGCGCCCCUCGGGAGGGGAUGUGCUUCGGCCGCCUCCAAAAGCACCUUUACUCUUAACUAUGAUUUAUUUUUAUUCAAUUCCAAAAAAAAAAUCAAAACCUCAACAACGGAUCUCUUGGUUACA
rnacentral:misc_RNA from 1 species